GAGCCCGUGGCUUAGUCUGGUAGAGCGCACGACUGAUAAUCGUGUGGUCACGUGUUCAAAUCACGUCGGGCUCACCA
rnacentral:tRNA from 1 species